rnacentral:pre_miRNA from 1 species
ACCACUGAGCUAAAUCCCCAGCCCCCGGCUUAUUUUUUAAAAAGGUACUUUUAAGGGCUGGGGAUUUAGCUCAGUGGC